UGGGGAAUAUUGGACAAUGGGCGCAAGCCUGAUCCAGCCAUGCCGCGUGAGUGAUGAAGGCCCUAGGGUUGUAAAGCUCUUUCACCGGUGAAGAUAAUGACGGUAACCGGAGAAGAAGCUCCGGCUAACUUCGUGCCAGCAGCCGCGGUAAUACGAAGGGGGCUAGCGUUGUUCGGAUUUACUGGGCGUAAAGCGCACGUAGGCGGACUUUUAAGUCAGGGGUGAAAUCCCGGGGCUCAACCCCGGAACUGCCUUUGAUACUGGAAGUCUUGAGUAUGGUAGAGGUGAGUGGAAUUCCGAGUGUAGAGGUGAAAUUCGUAGAUAUUCGGAGGAACACCAGUGGCGAAGGCGGCUCACUGGACCAUUACUGACGCUGAGGUGCGAAAGCGGGGGGAGCAAACAGG
rnacentral:rRNA from 1 species